rnacentral:rRNA from 1 species
AUGGCGGGGUUGCAGCUGCGCGCGGCGCUGCUCGUGACGGCCGGUGACAUCACGGCUUCCGUCCUAGAGCUCCGUCUCCGCCGUUUCGCCUUACACAAGCGCGACGCGGAGGUUCUGGCAUGGCUUCCUGCAUCAACAGCUGAUGGCCAUCCAUGGCCCAGUGCCCUUCGUCGGGGGAGCUGUUGGUGCUCGCGUAGGCGGUGUGCUAGAGGAUGA